GACGAACGCUGGCGGCGUGCUUAACACAUGCAAGUCGAACGGAAAGGCCCUGCUUUUGUGGGGUGCUCGAGUGGCGAACGGGUGAGUAACACGUGAGUAACCUGCCCUUGACUUUGGGAUAACUUCAGGAAACUGGGGCAAAUACCGGAUAGGAGCUCCUGCUGCAUGGUGGGGGUUGGAAAGUUUCGGCGGUUGGGGAUGGACUCGCGGCUUAUCAGCUUGUUGGUGGGGUAGUGGCUUACCAAGGCUUUGACGGGUAGCCGGCCUGAGAGGGUGACCGGCCACAAUGGGACUGAGAUACGGCCCAGAGUCCUACGGGAGGCAGCAGUGGGGAAUAUUGCACAAUGGGCGGAAGCCUGAUGCAGCAACGCCGCGUGCGGGAUGACGGCCUGCGGGUUGUAAACCGCUUUCGCCUGUGACGAAGCGUGAGUGACGGUAAUGGGUAAAGAAGCACCGGCUAACUACGUG
rnacentral:rRNA from 1 species